AUCGAACGCUGGCGGAAUGCUUUACACAUGCAAGUCGAACGGCAGCACGGACUUCGGUCUGGUGGCGAGUGGCGAACGGGUGAGUAACAUAUCGGAACGUAUCCAAUAAUGGGGGAUAACGAGUCGAAAGAUUCGCUAAUACCGCAUGCGCCCUACGGGGGAAAGCUGGGGACCUUCGGGCCUGGCGUUAAUGGAGCGGCCGAUAUCUGAUUAGCUAGUUGGUGAGGUAAAGGCUCACCAAGGCGACGAUCAGUAGCUGGUCUGAGAGGACGACCAGCCACACUGGAACUGAGACACGGUCCAGACUCCUACGGGAGGCAGCAGUGGGGAAUUUUGGACAAUGGGCGCAAGCCUGAUCCAGCCAUUCCGCGUGAGUGAAGAAGGCCUUCGGGUUGUAAAGCUCUUUCGCAAGGGAAGAAAACUUAGCCACUAACAUUGGUUGAGGUUGACGGUACCUUGAUAAGAAGCACCGGCUAACUACGUGCCAGCCGCCGCGGUAA
rnacentral:rRNA from 1 species